rnacentral:rRNA from 1 species
GACGAACGCUGGCGGCGUGCUUAACAUAUGCAAGUCGAACGGAAAGGCCCUGCUUUUGUGGGGUGCUCGAGUGGCGAACGGGUGAGUAACACGUGAGUAACCUGCCCUUGACUUUGGGAUAACUUCAGGAAACUGGGGCUAAUACCGGAUAGGAGCUCCUGCUGCAUGGUGGGGGUUGGAAAGUUUCGGCGGUUGGGGAUGGACUCGCGGCUUAUCAGCUUGUUGGUGGGGUAGUGGCUUACCAAGGCUUUGACGGGUAGCCGGCCUGAGAGGGUGACCGGGGAGAGUGGGGGAGAGAUGAGGGCGGGGCGCAGGCGGGAGGCAGCAGUGGGGGCGGGUGGACAAGGGGCGGAAGGCGGAUGCAGGAACGACGAGGGGGGGAGGGGGGAGGUCGGGGUGGAGAAAGCGAGCGCCUGGCAGGAAGCGUGAGUGACGGGGGGGGGAAAAGUGGAAACGACCCGCCAGAUG